UAGAGGCUGAUGAGGGGACUGAAAAUGAUCUUAGACUAAAAAUUUUACUUAUAAUGAUGCUCUUAACAUGUAAUUCAUUUCUUAUCAUCUGAUAAAAUAUCUCUCUUUAUCUAUCAAUUUUUCUAUCAGUCAAUACCUCUCCAUCCACCUCUAUCUUUAUGGAAAUUGAAAAGUCAAAACAAAUUUACAAAAAAUAAAAGAAGAGAACAAUAUAAUGGGGGCUAAGAAGUUAUCUCUUUAAAUAAUUGACAAUAACAUGUAGACAAAUGAAAGCAAAGUGUCACAAGUUGAAAAGGAAUAGAGUCAAAUGUUAAAUAACAAUUCAUUAAGAUAAGGAAAGUAUAAGAAAGGGGUCUAAUACUCCCAGUGACAGUCCUUGCAUUAUGGGGCACAGAUGACAGAGUGAGUACCCAAAUGAUAGCACAUUUUUCCAUACUCUUGAAGAAAAUAAUAGAGUUUUGUGUAGUACAAUGGAACUAAUGCAUAGUUUUCUUUUUCUAUUAUUAUUUGAAUAUUUUUCAAAAAACUUUUAAUUGAAAUUAAUGUUAAUUCCUCAAAAGCAUAGAAGAGGGUAAUAUCAAAACUACAAAGGCUCUAGCCUUCAAGUGAAUUUAUAAACUAUAAUAGUUUGUUCAUCUGUUCAUUAUUACAUUAGAGAUCUGUAGUUUUCCAUUACUUUAAAAUGCUAUAUGUUGAUUUUAUGUAAGGGAUAAACAAAUAAACUAGAGUAAAGAAGUAGACAGGAAAAUAAAUGACAGACGAGUGCCUGUUCUAGAAGUCCUUUAACUUUUGUUCUCCUUUCUAAGAUUGUUUCAUAGCCUUGGGGCUUCUCCCAAGCUGAGUGUGUACCCUAUUUGUGAUAUGGAGAACUUAGAAAUUACAGUACACUGGGGACACAAAUGCAACUGUCUGCCUUCAUAACAUCAACAGCUGUGGAGCCAAGGAGGAAAAGAAAAAAGAGCAGAAUAUAUCAUGGAUACAUGUAUUAUCUGGUUGCAGAUUCAGUUCCUUGCUUUAUCAGAAG
ensembl:lncRNA